UCCUCCGGGGCGCAGCCGUGAGGAAUCUUGGUCAAUGGGCGGGAGCCUGAACCAGCCCCGUCGCGUGCCGGCAUAAGGUACUUAGUAUUGUAAACUUCUUUUGUCGGGGAACAAAGGCGGAGACGCGUCUCCGGAUGAGUGUACCCGAAGAAAAAGCAUCGGCUAACUCCGUGCCAGCAGCCGCGGUAAUACGGAGGAUGCGAGCGUUAUCCGGAUUUAUUGGGUUUAAAGGGUGCGCAGGCGGGAGAUCAAGUCAGCGGUAAAAUGUCGGGGCUCAACCCCGGCCGGCCGUUGGAACUGGGUUU
rnacentral:rRNA from 1 species